rnacentral:tRNA from 1 species
GGGCUAUAGCUCAGCUGGCUAGAGCAUCUGCAUGGCAUGCAGAGGGUCGAGGGUUCGAAUCCCUCUAGCUCC